rnacentral:rRNA from 1 species
AUACGUAGGGUGCAAGCGUUGUCCGGAAUUAUUGGGCGUAAAGAGCUCGUAGGCGGUUUGUCGCGUCUGCUGUGAAAUCCCGAGGCUCAACCUCGGGCGUGCAGUGGGUACGGGCAGACUGGAGUGCGGUAGGGGAGAAUGGAAUUCCUGGUGUAGCGGUGGAAUGCGCAGAUAUCAGGAGGAACACCGAUGGCGAAGGCAGUUCUCUGGGCCGUAACUGACGCUGAGGAGCGAAAGCGUGGGGAGCGAACAGGAUUAGAUACCCUGGUAGUCCACGCCGUAAACGUUGGGCGCUAGAUGUGGGGACCUUUCCACGGUUUCCGUGUCGUAGCUAACGCAUUAAGCGCCCCGCCUGGGGAGUACGGCCGCAAGGCUAAA